UGUAAACGUUUACAAUCAACUUUUGACUUAAAACAAUCUUGUGUUCACUUAACUUAGCUUAUCUUGAGUUAAUCAUAUUUAUUAACAAUUACAAAUCUUAGUGUUAACUCCACCAUUGACGGUCCUCAGUCCGUAUGAAAAAGGAGGAAGGGCGCUUUAGACAUUUUUCUUUUUUAGUUGAAGUAUUAAAAAUUAAUCAUGCUUCUCUUGGUUUUAAAGAUAUACUAUACUACCAUUGUCCAACUGUGAAGAAGUAGGUAGGUAGCCAAUUUUAAUAGUGCAGAUCUUUGAAGACCAGGGUGUGUAAAUGUGAAUUGGAAAGUGGCAACAUAUACCUAGUUCAGACUUCAGAAAUGUAGUUAGACAUGAGUUAUGGAAAUUGGAUUCAUUAAUUUUUGGACAUUCAAAACUAUACCAUACUACCAUUGUCCAAUUGUGAAGAAGUAGGUAGCUAAUUUUAAUAGUGCAGAUCUUCAUAGACUUGGAUGUAUAUAUGUGAAUUGGAAAGUGGCAACAUAUACCUAGUUCAGACUUCAGAAAUGUAGUUAGACAUGAGUUAUGGAAAUUGGAUUCAUUAAUUUUUGGACAUUCAAAACUAUACCAUACUACCAUUGUCCAAUUGUGAAGAAGUAGGUAGCUAAUUUUAAUAGUGCAGAUCUUCAUAGACUUGGAUGUAUAUAUGUGAAUUGGAAAGUGGCAACAUAUACCUAGUUCAGACUUCAGAAAUGUAGUUAGAUAUGAGUUAUGGAAAUUGGAUUCAUUAAUUUUUGGACAUUCAAAAUAACUUUAUGAUAAACAUUAGUAAGACCCUA